UACGUAGGUGGCAAGCGUUGUCCGGAAUUAUUGGGCGUAAAGCGCGCGCAGGCGGUCCUUUAAGUCUGAUGUGAAAGCCCACGGCUCAACCGUGGAGGGUCAUUGGAAACUGGGGGACUUGAGUUCGGGAGAGGGAAGCGGAAUUCCGGGUGUAGCGGUGAAAUGCGUAGAUAUCCGGAGGAACACCGGUGGCGAAGGCGGCUUCCUGGACCGACACUGACGCUGAGGCGCGAAAGCUAGGGGAGCAAACGGG
rnacentral:rRNA from 1 species